GACGAACCGUCCAAACGUUAUUCGGAAUCACUGGGCUUACAGAGUUCGUAGGCGGUCCCAAAAGUUAGGUGUGAAAUCCCUCGGCUCAACCGAGGAACUGCGCUUAAAACUGUGGGACUCGAGGGAGAUAGAGGAAAGCGGAACUGAUGGUGGAGCGGUGAAAUGCGUUGAUAUCAUCAGGAACACCGGUGGCGAAGGCGGCUUUCUGGGUCUUACCUGACGCUGAGGAACGAAAGCGUGGGGAGCAAACAGGG
rnacentral:rRNA from 1 species